UUUCCGUAGGUGAACCUGCGGAAGGAUCAUUACCGAGUGAGGGCCCUCUGGGUCCAACCUCCCACCCGUGUUUAUUAUACCUUGUUGCUUUGGCGGGCCCGCGUUCGUCGCCGCCGAGGGGUUGACCCCCCUGGGCCAGUGCCCGCCGAUAGCCCCCUCUUAAACUCUUGAUCAACCGUGAAUGUCUGAGUAAAAAAAAAAUCAAGCACAAAACUUUCAACAACGGAUCUCUUGGUUCUG
rnacentral:misc_RNA from 1 species